rnacentral:misc_RNA from 1 species
GAUGAAGAACGCAGCGAAAUGCGAUAAGUAAUGUGAAUUGCAGAAUUCAGUGAACCAUCGAAUCUUUGAACGCACAUUGCGCCCCCUGGUAUUCCGGGGGGCAUGCCUGUCCGAGCGUCAUUGCUGCCCUCAAGCACGGCUUGUGUGUUGGGCCUCCGUCCUCCUCCCGGGGGACGGGCCCGAAAGGCAGCGGCGGCACCGCGUCCGGUCCUCGAGCGUAUGGGGCUUCGUCACCCGCUCUUGUAGGCCCGGCCGGCGCUUGCCGACACAUCAAUCUUUUUUCCAGGUUGACCUCGGAUCAGGUAGGGAUACCCGCUGAACUUAAGCAUAUCAAUAAGCGGAGGA